CUUGAUUCCUAUAAGACAUACCUUUUAGUCGAGUCUUCUCCCUUGAUUCCUAUAAGACAUACCUUUUAGUCGAGUCAUUCCCCUUGACCCCUAGAAGAUGUACCUUUUAGUCGAGUCAAUUCCUUUGAUCCCUAUCAGACGUACCUUAUAGUCGAGUUAUUCUUCUUGAUUCCUAUAAUGAUGUGACUUUCACAAAAGUCCUUUGAUGAUAAACUGGGGAAAAAUUUAAUUCUUGUUUUUGGAACUUUACUUUUUUGGCAAACGAAAUUUCUCUUUAUAAUAAUUUUUGUUUGGGAUAAUUUUCUUUCCAGUUUUGAUGUGAUUUCAAGAGCCUGUCCAAAGCAGGAGGAGAAAAAAUGGAAAAUUAAGCAACAAGGUGAAGAAAUUAAAAGUUAAAUAGAUUGAAAAAUAGCAAGUCAGGAGCCCACCUGCAGAACCGGGUGAAUAAAUUGAAAGCAUAGCAACAAGUUGAUUAAAUAGCAAGUCAGGAACCCACCUGGAGAACAGGGUGUAGAAAUUGAAAAGCAUAGCAACAAGUUGAUGAAAUAACAAGUCAGGAAUCUGCCUAGAGAAUAGGGUGUAGAAAUUGAAAUGCAAGCAACAACUUGAUGAAAUUUCAAGUCAGGAGCCUACCUGAAGAAUAGGGUGAUGAAAUGGUAAGUCAGGAGCCUGCCCGAAGUAUAGGGCGAAUAAAUGAAUGUUAAGCAAUAAGGUGAAGCAAUUGAUAAUCAGGUAACAAGUGAUGAAAUUGCAAGUCAGGAGCCCGCCUGAAGAAUAGGGUGAUGAAACUUAAUUCAGGAGUCCAAUAGAAGCUGUAUAGAUAGGAUUUUGUAAUUUCAUUUAUGUUGUAACUUCUAAUUUUCAUUUUAAUGUAAUGACAGAUCCAUGGACCGGAACCUCGAUGGAACCUCACUCGACUCUCUAACUCGGUAUAGUCCACCUCCUUCCAUUUUUUUAAGAUACAUGUCACUUGAUUCCCUCAUAACUUGGGUAGGUAGGAUGUCCUAAAUCAAGAUUUGGUCUCUCUCUUUCUUUUUAUUUCAUUCCUUUUUAAUAAUGGUCGGGUCAAAAUUCUAUCUCGUUGUCUACUUCUUUGUAUGAAAACACUUUGUGUUUACAUUCAAAGAGGAGCAUGAUGUAGACACGUAAUUUUAUCCCUCCUCAAAAACAUUUUUACCAUUUUACCUCCGUUUUACUGCGUGCCCUCACCCAUGUGAUUAUAUCCCACAAAAAUAUAAAAAUAACAACCCCUAACUAAUUUUAUCUUAUUUAACAAUCCCUUCCUAUUAAAUUUUAACACCUCACAUACCCCACCUCACCACCUACCCCACAUGCCCCCUUUCCUUUACAUUUUAAUUAUCAUUUAACAGAAUAAGGCACAAAAAAUUCUUCCAUAUUUGGAUAGACACUUUCAAGGUCCCAUAGAAUAAUUAAAAAAGAAAACAAUUCUCACUCACAGGGGGACUCAUAAUUCACAGAACCACACUCAUUUUCAUACUCACGCGCUAAACAUAGUACCCACUACAUCAUGAAUCGAUAUUCUCCAUUGAUGAAAAAAGCAUGUAACACGGUCCAUCUCUUCCUUUUCUUCUGAACACACUGCCAUAGAAGAAGAUCAUCAUCAUCCUCACAUACACAAACAGAAAUACAGAGAGACCCCAACUUUUCUUUUCUUCUCCACAUAGGAGAUACACAUAGAGCUACUAUAUACACCUGUUGAACGCACGCACAAUAGGGGAUACACAUACUGAGAGAUUCGCGCUCGAGAGAGAGAUUUGAAGUCGAGAUCUGAAAUAGAGAAGAAAACUGUGUUGAUUUCGGGUUACUCAGAAAUGGAUCUCAGUGGGUUCAGUCGUUUUUUUGGCGACUAUUUUGCUGGAAUCUCGUUGUUCUCUAUUGAUUUUUCGAUGAGUCCGAUAGGGAAAUGAGAAUAUCACCAGAAAUACUCCGUUUUCAAAAGUUUUCAAGCGACCCCGUUUAAAAAAUAUUCAAACUCUCUGGAAUCCGACCUACUUCUAUCUGUUUUGGGCACUAUUAGCUCACCGGAGUUCAAGUCGUGCGGGUGCUUAGUUUUCCAUCAGAUUUUUGUAGCUUGGGUUCGUCUAUUUUGGUGAUUCAAGAUUGAAACCGGAUUUUGAGUUUCAUCAGUCAUCGUUUUGGGUUUGAAUCUUGGUUUUCAUAUCGAGGUAUUUAUUUUUGGGUUUGAAAUUUGUCUGGCUAUUGAUCCUGGGUAUUCACUGUCGUUGGUGGAGUUCCAUUCGGUUUGGAUUUGAGUUGGUGGGUCGCGGUUGAAGUUCAAUUCGAGGUUCCCGGCCGGACUCUGUCUCGUUUAGUUGAAUAACACUACAUUGAAAUCAAUAAUUGAGGUGAAUGCCUCGAGCGAUUUGUAUUGAUUUAUCCGGGGAAUGCCCCAAAGUAUCUUGUAAUUGGUGGACGUUCGUGGUGAAGGCCUGAGGCAUUGGGUGAGGCAUCGGAGCUUAGUCUAGGAUUAGUUUAGAAUAGGAUUUACAUUUCCUUAUUUUUCUAUUUUGGAAUGUAUAAUUGGACUGGACAUUGUUUUUGGAUUUGUUUACUUGAUUGAUCGUUUUAUU